UCACCACGUAUCCGUAUCGGGCUUUGUGGUGGCAUAUUUUUUCACACAUUAUAGGAGUGUAAUAAGUGGCCCGUAUAGCCGGCAUUAACGUUCCUGAU
rnacentral:sRNA from 1 species